AUUGAACGCUGGCGGCAGGCCUAACACAUGCAAGUCGAACGAGUGGCGGACGGGUGAGUAAUGUCGGGGAAACUGCCUGAUGGAGGGGGAUAACGACUGGAAACGGUAGCUAAUACCGCAUACCAUCAGAUGGGCCCAGAUGGGAUUAGCUUGUUGGUGGGGUAACGGCUCACCAAGGCGACGAUCCCUAGCAGGUCUGAGAGGAUGAUCAGCCACACUGGAACUGAGACACGGUCCAGACUCCUACGGGAGGCAGCAGUGGGGAAUAUUGCACAAUGGGCGAAAGCCUGAUCCAGCAAUGCCGCGUGUAUGAAGAAGGCUUUCGGGUUGUAAAGUUCUUUCAGCGGGGAGGCGUUACCCGCAGAAGAAGCCCCGGCUAACUCCGUGCCAGCAGCCGCGGUAAUUC
rnacentral:rRNA from 1 species